ACAAUAGCUGGCAUUACUGAAUCAUUUUCACAUCGGGUCACAAGCAGGAUUUCACAGAUGGAUCCCGUUAAUUAACAUAUAUUAGUUACCUAGAAGUAAGAGCAUCCCAUUUGUUCCUGUGUGUGGGCUCUCUAGUGGAGAAGCAAGGUCAUUCAGCACAUUGACUCUUGACACACAGUGUAUGGGGACUGAAAACCCACCGUCACAACAUCUCUGUGAGCAGGAAGGUGUAACCUCUCAUUUUCCUCUGGCUGCUGCUGGCAGCUGUUCCCUCCUAGCAAUAUGUUUCUAACCAGAUGCCUCUAGCUGCAGAGGAAUUUGCCUUUUUCUGGCCGGCUGCUGUAUUUUUGGGCUCCCCAGGCACAGCAGCAUCAGUGGGGAGCAGAAAAGGCUGGGCCCCUCCACUGUGUGGGUGAUGCCCCGUUUGGGCCAGCAUUGAAGGACAGAAUAGGCUCUGGUCUUGCUGCUAUACCUUGGAGCUCACUCACCACCCAGGGAUGCACGGCGAAACUGUUUGGACAACAGGGACGAAAGCCUUUAAUUACAUGACUACCUGCUGCUUUUUGCAGAGAGCACUUGCCUCGUUCAGUGAACAGGACAGACCUGCUUUGCAUGUGGGUCACUUUACCGUGAAGGAGGCUGCUCCCUGUGCGACCCUGCCUCAUUUAUUGCAGAGGUUAACAAACAUCCCCAGCGGACAGAAGAUGGGAGGCCUUCCUUUGCUGCACACCUCCCUGCACAGGGACAGACCUUUGCCAGCAGCCUGAAUGGUGCAAGUAAUGGGUUGUCAUCUCCUGUUUGGAUCAGCAGCAGGGAGGGACAGGACGCUUUGCCAAGCCCUUGCAAUACUGCCUUGACCUCCUGAACUGAAAAAUUCCUGGAUAAAGCCCUGUGUGCCCUGAUCUGAUCCCAUAGCCAAUCCCCCCAUCAAGUGGAGGUAAGAACAGAGGCUUCCUGAUCCCUUCCAACCUGAAUUAUCCAAUGAUCCUAUGAACUCAUCGUAUUUUUCUCCAUUACACAAAUAGUCUGCAUUCCAAUAGCCUAUUUUAUUAAUCAGUCUUUGCACCAAGUAGCUUUGAUUUAUCACAUUGUCAUAACUUCACCUCUACGGUAUAGGAUUCCUUUAGAUAAAAAAGGCAACCAAGCAUACAUCCCAUAAAACGGUAAAAUAUAGCCAGGGUUGUUAUUAUGUGGGAUGAGGUUGUUGCAAAUUCUAUAUAAAACGGGAAUUUGUGCCAGGAGCUCUUCAAAGUGCCAUGGCUGGCCUUCCAAGAAUCUGGAAAUGUCAUCACCAAGGCUAAGGAACCUUGUUUUUUUCCUCCUCUCUGCGAACAUGAUGAUAUUUGUCUGGAUCCUGGCUCUAAAUCCUCCGAGCCGUGGCAGGGUGCCGAGAGGCAGGAUGCUAGCUGUGCAACAGGAGGCUUGCUCUGGUCGGAGCAGCGCUCCCCAUUUUCCAGCAUUGGGACACACUGCCCCAGAGCUGAGGCCGCUCUGCAUCGGGGCUAUCUGCGUCAUCUUCUAACAAAGAGGCACCCCAAAGAUGCUACAUCUGCUGUUGGGGGUCAGAGAGGCACUGGUUUAGAAGCCAUGCUUUAUCGUGAGAGGUAGCAUCUCAGGAAGGAAAGGCCUGGCUCCAUAAUCUCAACUUCAGCAUUUAUUCAUGUGUAGACUCCACCAUGCAGUGGAGCAUUCCCUUCAAAGUGUGGAUGUUCCUCUCAAAAUGUUUUUAUUUUCCAAUUCAAAUCAAAAUCAAUUUUCACCAGAACACGUAAUGACCCUUCUGUUAUUUGAAAGAUAUUUUUUUCAGUGAAGUACUACCUCAGUACUACUUUUUUAUCAAAAACAUUUCUUAGCUACUAGAAAUGUAUUUUCUUUCCUUGGUUUGUCCUCAACCCUCUUGUACCCAGGAAGAGUCUCUGGAGGAUCACUGUUUCAAGGGUGGGAAAACUACCGUGUAAAAACGUGUAACUCCCAGGAAUAUACCACUUCUGAAAUUUUCAGUUCCAAACAAAAUCACAGGAUGUAGGAGUAGCCCAAAAGAGGUGUUUGGGAUGAAGAUGUUUGGUCAGCUGGAGUAAUGGCUGUCACUGCUCAUUAUGUGCAUUUCAUUGCACUGGAUGAUUUUAUUUUGUUUCUACAGGUUCUGUUUCUGCUCAUUCACAUUGCUCCUGUCUCUUCCUCUGAGGCCUUUUCCUUUCCCUCCUAGCUCUUCCAGAUGUUUUCUGUUCUUUGCUUUUAGUCAAACUUCUCAAAGCUAUAAUUUGACCUCCAUUCCCAAAGUCCCCUUGCAUUUCUCCCUGCCAACUACAGGCCUUGCCCUUUGUGGAAAGAGAGUUAGUGGUACCAGGGAAGUGCUGGAAGACCUGUCCCAUUGCAGAAGAGAUGUAGGAAGGGUAGUGAGCAACCCAUCCGGCUAAAUCACGAGUUCCCAAAAGGAAGCAUGGGGAAACUAGGUCAGGCUUCUACAGGAUAAGCAAAGAAGUACUGGAUAGCAAGAGCAUGCAGGGACAAAUGGAGAAAAGCCGAUGCAAGAAAUACAACUAACGAGAGCAUGGCAAGCCAUGAGAAAUCAUUCAGUAAGUACAUCAGUGGUAAGAGGAAGUCAAAGGAAAGUGGAUUAGUCAUCAGAGAGAGAAAGCUACUGACUGAUGCUGAGAAGGCUCCGGGUGCCUGAUGCCUUUUUAGCACCAGUCUUUACUAAAAGAUGUUGCUUGUUAUCAGGUGAUUGCCAUAGCGCACAUCAAUGACAAAGGAAAAGGAUUUCAGCCCCGACUAGGAGAGAACAAGGUGCGAAAGCAUUUGGGUAAUUUAGAGGUGCUCAAAUCAAGGGGCUGGCUGGCCUUCAGGGGAGGGAGCUGAGAGAAAUGCUCAAAGGAUGCUGGAAACGUUGAGCUCAGAGAGGACGACCAAGGAACGUGUUGAUGCAAACGAGCAAGAGUGGGGCCUCUCUUUGAAAAGACCAUUUAAAAUAAAAGUAUAUAAUAAUAAUAAUAAUAAUAAUAAACGUAGCCCAGGCAGACGUUUUCUUCCCAGAAAGGCCCUAGUAAAAACAGCCAAAUCGCCGGCAAACAGGCAGAAGGACAAAAGAGAUAAGUAACCAUUAACGUGCACUUGCCAAGAAGAAAUCAGGUCGAGCUGACCAAAUUUCCUUCGGCAACAGAAGAACUGACCCUGUUAUGGAAGAAAGGAGCAACCUUAAGUUGAGCUCUGCACCCUCAUUCAUGAAUGAAGGAGUUCGGUUUAUGCAAAAAAUGUUGGGUAGUGGGUAUAAAAUGCCCAAAACAGCAAUUCUUGAAAGUGUGGCAUGAGGAUGUGCUAGCACGUCCAGCUGGCCAGUUGUUGGGAGGAGAAAGGAGGAGACCUCCCUGGGCAGGGGUAACAGGGCUGUUUCAGCAAGGAGUGGUCGAGUAAGUGUGAGACGCAUCCCUGGGUGGGCUGUGGGUAUUGGGGUGUCAGAGUGGGGCUGAGGGAAGCCACGUGGAAGGGAUCUGGAGUCCAUGGCAGUGGGGUGGCCUUUCUGGUGUCCUGUGCAAGAACUGAAAGGAGCUGAAGGGAAGGACAGACAAGGAGUUAACGGCGUACAGUAACUGGCUUGCAGAGACUGAAUCAGGUAAAUGGAUGUCCACCACCGACUUGCUCUUCCAUUUAUAUCCAGCAACGAUGCCAACCUGCUACUAAUGCACCCGAGUAUUUUCUGCUCGCUAACCAUGUUCAUAUGUACAAGUGCGUAUUGAUCUGUUGUCUCAAAUAAAGAAAGAAAUAAAUAACUGCUCGGUAAUGCACGGGCUGCUCUCCGCAAUGCAAAUAGUCUGAGGCGCUUAGGUGCUGAAGCGAAUUGAGCUGAACACGAAAGUAACCUUCACACCUCAGAAACGACUCCGCCGCAGCUAAGGCGAGCUGCUGGCAUUUAUCUACAUUCAUUUUUUAUUUAUUUUUUAUUUUUUUUUCCCUUACGUUGCACCGCGGCCUGCUGGAGGGGGCAACCGCGGCUCUCAGCGACC